rnacentral:rRNA from 1 species
UGGGGAAUUUUCCGCAAUGGGCGAAAGCCUGACGGAGCAAUACCGCGUGAGGGAAGAAUGCCUGUGGGUUGUAAACCUCUUUUUUAGGGAAGAAAAUAUGGCGGUACCUAAAGAAUAAGCAUCGGCUAACUCCGUGCCAGCAGCCGCGGUAAUACGGGGGAUGCGAGCGUUAUCCGGAAUCACUGGGCGUAAAGAGUCUGUAGGUUGUCUGGUAAGUCUGCUGUUAAAUAUUAAAGCUUAACUUUGAACAAGCAGUAGAAACUACCAGACUAGAGUAUGGUAGGGGUAGAGGGAAUUCCCAGUGUAGCGGUGAAAUGCGUAGAUAUUGGGAAGAACACCAGUGGCGAAAGCGCUCUACUGGGCCAUUACUGACACUCAGAGACGAAAGCUAAGGUAGCGAAUGGGAUUAGAUACCCCCGUAGUCC